AGAUAGCCGUGGAGAGUUGCUUGCAUGGAGAUCUUGACAAGGUUUAUGCUACGCUUAAGCGUUUGGAGGAAGCAGAGAAUGCAAAGAUAGACAUACCCUUAUGCUGCGGGGACUUUCAGGUUUUGAAGGUGGAACUGAAGUUUCAAGGAAAAUCUUCUCUGUUUUUUUAGUAGCCAUAUCAGUAAAUUAGGGCGCAACUUAAAGCUUCUAACUGAUAGCUAAAAAAAGCAAGUUUCAUCAAUAGAACUUCUCAAAAUGUUUCUUCAAAUCUCAGGUCAUGGGAAUGUAUUUACUAUGUGAACGGUUCCAAUUAAAGUAGAAGCUUUCCAUGAACUGAUGGGUGUGGAUUCAACACUAAAGCAUGAACCUGAUCAUAACUGGUUGAGGCAGGAGUUAUUAGUCAGCAGAAUCAAUACUCCCUUUUAUGUAAAUUAUGCAUUCAGGUAAGCAAUUGUAUUGAAUUAAUUUGAAUAAUACAAUGAAAGAUAAAUAUCAUUCGUUAAACUCUGCUUAAUUCUAUGCUUUUUCUCCAACUAUUUUAGCUAAGCAUUUGAAUGAUUUUUUUGAACUUUUUUUUCUGAUAUUUUUUCUAGUUUUAUGUAUGAGGACUAUGCAAUUCGAUAUUUUUAUGCUGAAUUCGAUAUUUACUAAAAAAAUUACGUUUCUUACAAAUUUUGCUAUGAUUCAUUACAAAUAUGCUUGCACGCAAGUGCAUUAGAUUGAUUACUAGGAGAAACACUUAACACUACUUUGCACUCAGGAGUUCAGUUUCCAUCAGAUAAAUUAGAUUUAAUCCAAUUGUCCCUUAGCAUUUUGAUCCCACUACUAUGAUGGAAAUUCGUGGGAAGCUCACCUAUUAAAUCAUAGCCGUCUCUAGGCAUUUUGAUCCCAAGGUUAAGAUGGGAAUCCAUGGGAGGCUCAUCUGGAUCACUCUUAUCUCCUUCCAUAUUUAGAUGGUUGAUUUAGGAAGGGAUUAUAUUAGAGCAAUUAUGCAUUAUUUUGUAAUUAUUUGUUUCUUUAUUAAGAUAACUUGUAUGUAUCUAUAAAUAUAUACAA